rnacentral:rRNA from 1 species
AGGAUGAACGCUGGCGGCGUGCCUAAGACAUGCAAGUCGAGUGGGUUUAGGCCCACGGCAAACGGGUGAGUAAUAUCUAGGAACGUACCACUAGUUGAGCAUAACCUACCGAAAGGUAGAGCAAUUCUCAAUGUGACCGCAAGGUUAAAGUCGCAAGACGCUAGUGAAGCGGCCUGGACACCAUCAGCUUGUUGGUAAGGUAAAAGCUUACCAAGGCUAUGACGGUUAGGGGUCCCGAGAGGGAUAACCCCCACACUGGAACUGAGACACGGUCCAGACUCCUACGGGAGGCAGCAGUUUGGAAUUUUGGACAAUGGGCGAAAGCCUGAUCCAGCGACGCCGCGUGGACGAUGAAGGUCUUCGGAUCGUAAAGUCCUUUUGUAGGGAAGAAUAUUUUGACGGUACCUAAGAAUAAGAGGUUGCUAACUCUGUGCCAGCAGCCGC